CUGCCUUGCUAAGAUAUGCUUCUCCUUCACCUUCUGCCAUGAUUCCUACCCAGGUUACCAGUGGGGAGCUGGCAGACUGUCAAAUCCUAUUCUUUUGGGGUAAUCCAUGGCCAGAAGCUUUUGUGGAACUCACUACAGGGGAUGUGGCUGCUUGUCAGAGAUGCAAACAGGAGCACUGAAGCUUCUGGGCUUAAGUGAUGACCUCAAGAGGACUCCUGAAUUAAUGUCUGUACAGUAACUUCUCAGAGUCUGGUUACCAGGUAACUCAACGAGGAACACUGUACCUCCCCAUCUUCCUCUCACUAUCCCUCCCUCCUCACUUCCUCUUCCUUUUUGCUCUCCCUUGUUCCCUCUUUUCCUCCCUCUUUUUCUCACCCUUUUUCUCUCUUCUUUCCUCUCUCUAUUCUCUCUCCUGCUCUCCCUCAAACUGCGUAGUUUCUCACCUCUGCUCCUUUCUGAGCUCUCAUGUCAUUCUCUUCUCAUUUUCUGACCAGUUUCCUCAGCUCUUCCGGCACAUGGACCAUGAUGGCUGCCCCCAGAUGGUGCCUUCAGCUCCCCAGUCACCAUCACUGUGGUAUAUGCUGUUGGUAUCUCACCCCGAUGCCUUUACUGGGCUGAUGUCCUCAUCUUGCAGCUGCUGUGGGUGUCAGUUAAUAACAGCUCAUAUGUGUACCCUUCUCUGGAGGACUAUCCUUUACCAACUGGAAGCUUCUCUCCUGGAGAUGCCCAAAAGGUUUUGCCCCACAUGCCUUAGCCAAUGACUGUCAGAUGGGUGGGGGCAUGCAAAAGUCCAUCCUCCUUGCCUCAAGGCAGGACACACUCUGUGGUACAAUUCACACUCUGGACAGCCCCCUAGGAUCAGGUGCAGGCUGCCUUUUCCUGUCUUUGCAUAGCAUCUUCCCCUGUUCCAUGUUGCUCCUCUCACUCCCUUCAGGUGUAGCCUCGGAGCACUCCCUCAAUCAAUCCCUCUGCCUCUAAGGAGCCUGAUUUAGGCUCAUCUCCUUACAGAUCCUGUGCCUGUGGCAAAUUGGCUCAGCCUUUGCUGUCCUAAUUCCAAAUAUCCAGGAGACAGAACUCUCUUAAAGUUCUUUCUCUUUGAACUCCCAUUCAAAGACCAGUGCUCCCUACGUGCAGCUUGGCUCAGGCUGAGCUCAGCCCAGCAUCUAGGACAAACACCUGGAGUUCAUUUCAGGUGAACACUGGGAACACAUUACAGGUGCAACCUUCUGUGGCUGCAGAGGAGACAGAGUUAAAUAGAAUAGGGCAGAUGAAGGGUACAUGGAGAGGGGACAACUCUCAGAAAAGGCUAGUCAGUUCCUGCAAAGGUGAACCCUACCCGUGUCCUCCUCCUCAGUCUUUCUUGAAUUAAUUUUCUUGGUCUUCUCUUUACCCCUCAUCAAUCUUCCCAUCUACAUGCCAAGUUCUAAUCAGAUAGUGAAUGUUUGAAAAGUGGCACCACAUGAUGGAGAAAGGACUAGGCUGAGUGUCAGGAUGGAAGAUGGUCCUAAUUCAGCUAGCUCGCUUCACAUACACCUCUGGGUCUCCAGCUUUAAGGUAAAUUAGAGUCAAUUUGCUAGCUUCAACAGUCAGUGCUUUUCUGAAAACAAGAAGGGCUGGCUGGGUGCUUUGGCUCAUGCCUGUAAUCCCAACUCUUUGGGAGGCUAAGGUAGGAGAAUUUCUUGAGGCCAGGAGUUGAGAUUUACCUGGGCAACAUAGCAAGACCCUGUCUCUACAAAAAUUUAAAAAAUUAGUUGACUGUGGUGGUACAUGCCUGCAAUCUCAGUUAUGCAGGACGACCACUUAGCCCAGGAGUUUAAGGCUGUAGUGAGCUAUGAUUGCACCACGACAUUACAGCCUGGGCAACACAGCAGGACCCUAAAAUUAAAAAAUAAAAACAAAUAGAGCAGAAUCUGGGUCUUUUAAUCUCUGCAUUCCUGAAUUCAGCACAAUGCCUGGCAGAAAAAACAUUGAUAACGUAUUUUUUAAAAGGAGCUAUUCUCAGCCGGGUGCGGUGGCUUAUGCCUGUAAUCCCAGCACUUUGGGGGGCCAAGGCAGCGGAUCACCUGAGGUCGGGAGUUCAAGACCAGCCUCAUCAACAUGGCAAACCCCAUCUCUAGUAAAAAUACAAAAAAAAAAAAAAAAAAAAAAAAAAGCCAGGUAUGGUGGCAGGUGCCUGUAAUCCCAGCUACUUGGGAGGCUGAGGCAGGAGAAUUGCUUGAACCUGGGAGGCGGAGGUUGCAGUGAGUCCAGAUGGCGCCACUUCGCUCUAGCCUGGGUGACUGAGCAAGACUCCAUCUCAAAAUUAAAAAAGGAAAAAAGGAGUUAUUCUCUAAAAAAUGAAAUGAUGGAGAGUUACAUUAAGAUAAUAAGGUAGAGCAUGAUCCCAAAGUAUGCACUAUUCUGAGUGUAGGGUGCCUGUUGGCAAUAACUAUCACUUGGUAAGGGCUCAGUUGUGCCAGUUCCAUGUUAAGUAUUCUACUGCUGUUGUGUAACAAAUCACCCAAAAACUUAGCCAUUUAAAACAAUUUAAGCCAUUUUAUUAUGCUCAUAGAGUCCGUGGGUCAGGCCUUUGGACAGGACACAGUGGGGAUGGCUUGUCUCUGCUCUGCAAUGUCUGGGGCCUCUGCUGGGAAGAUCUGAAGUCUGGUAGUGACUUGUGAGCUGGGGCUGGGAUCACCCAGAGGCAUCUUCACUCACAGAACCGGUGGCUGAGGAUGGCCUUGUCUGGGUCUGUUGACCAAAGCACCUAUGUGUGGUUUCUCCAUGGGGGCUGGGCUUCAUCACAGAACAGUGGCCUCAGGCUAGUAGGACUUUUGAAGGUGUCUGCUCACAGCUCCAAAAUCAAGUGUCCCAGUUUACAAGAUAGGAGAGAAACUUCAUCAUUUUUAUGACCUAGCCUCAGAAAUCAACUAUAUUAUUCCCACCACAUUCUUACAAGCAAGUCAUAAACUAAUUCACGUUUAAGAGUAGGUGAACUAGGUACUGCCUCUUGAUGGGAUGGGGGAGAGGCUGUCACAGAGCACAUGCGAUGGCAGAUAUUGUUGUGGUUAUAUUUGGGAAAUAAAAUCUGCCUUGCAUGUACUGUCUCAAUCCUUCCAUUAUCUUUGGAAGUAGGUAUUAUUGUCCCUCUUUACAGGGAAAGAAACUGAGGCUCAGAGGGGCUAAGCAACUGGCCUAUGGACAAGGCUAGUACAUGGCAGAGUUGGAGUUCACCCUAGUCUGUACAGAGCAGGUGUUCUCCAGUAGCAUAUGAUGCUGCUUACAGGAAAAGGGAACUGAAAAAAAUAAGACAUUCAAAGGCCAGUUCGGGAGUGAGGUAUUCUUCUCUCCCAUAAUCCUGAUGUCAGAGUUAAUAUCUUCCCCAUAUGGGAAUCUGGUUCCUGUGCAUAACUCCCCAGGGAGUUGCUUCCCAGAAACUAUGUAAGUAUGUGUGUACCUUUGAUGCCUCAAGUCUUCCAGAUAUGCACUGUGUGCCAGCAGCUGCUGUCUGCCCUCCCCGACCACACUUAUAUGGCAAAAUAGUCCAGCAAACAAUGAGCAGGAGCAAGCUCUGACCCCCUCCGUGAAGGCAGCACACAGAACCAGUUCGUGCCAGGAAUAUCUUCUCUGCCGUGAUCCCCCUUUAAAAUUACAUCUUCCCUUUAAGUGCAAACAAGAACCUAGACUUCCAGAAAGUCAUCUUGAUACUCCCAGGAUACUUAUAAUCUGGAAUCUUUAGAAGGUACUUGGCACUCACUGCUUGCUCUGUAGGAUUUUUGUGUUCUAACACCCCAGUUAGUCUUCUAAGGCCUCAGAGGGCAAGGUUCAUGCCCUAUUCUGCCUCAGUCCCCCACCCCUGCUAUACAAUACCCCAUUCUUAGUAGGUAGGCAAUAAUUAGGUCAAAAGGCCUCAGAAAGUUUAUUAUAUUAUAACAGGAGGACACGUGCUUCUUUAAAAGCAUUUUUUGAGAGCCUACUCUAUCACCGGCAUUGUGCUAAUGACCCAUGUGAUCUAGAAGCAGAAAUUUAGAAAAUCAAAUAUGAGCCUUUUGGGCAUUCUGCAGCAGGUAAAUAACAAAUCAAAAUUGGUAUCUAGAAGUGAAGCAUCCUUGGUCAGAUUAAGAGGCCUUCAUGACAGGUACAUUUGAGGCAAGCACUGUAAGGUUACAAUCUCUAUCAGCUGUCAGAUGUUUAGAAAGACCCUAAAUAGGGUAUUGAGAUCCUAAUUCUUGAUUUUACUUUCUCCUAGAAAUUGUCUGAGUGAUGAUUUUAGCUGGGCUUAUCAGUCAGGAAAGGAUGGGUCUUGCUGUCCUUAAUUUCAAAUCAGUCUUCUUGUAGUAGGCAAAUUUCUCUACCUUUCUUUUAAUUUGUCACCAUUUCACCUCAAAUUAUCCCUAAAGGCCAUGACCUUUGGAAAUACCUUUGAAUGUUCAAAAUCAGCUGAUCCAGCCACAGAUAAACCUGGUCAUAAUCAAUGGGUAAUCAAUAUCAUAUUACCCAUAAUUUUAUCUUCACUCAUUCUUCACAUCGUAAAUCCUUGAUCCAAAUACAAUACUAUUAUAUAAAACUAUUUCUUCAACAUACCAACAACAAGAAUGAAACAGCUCCUGUAAAUAAUUACCUCUGG
rnacentral:lncRNA from 1 species